CGCUGGAACAGGAACCUGGCUCUAGGCGUGAUCGGGUAGAGGGACGGCGAGCAGCUGCCGCCGCCCCAGGUCUAGGCCACGAGGAGGGGGAGGGUUAGGUAGAAGGUCCGUCCGAGUCGGAGGUCCGCGGGGAGCUGCGGCGUGACGUGGAGUAGCUGGUCCUGGGACCAGCGGCGGCGGUGCCAGAGGAGGAGGGACCACCGGCGCCUGCGGUUGAGCACGUAGACGGGUCCUUAGGUACUCCGUGGUGGACCGGCAGAGACACCGCCUAAUGCUGUCUAAACGCUGGUUCGAGUUCUGGGGGCCGUGUCUGAACAAGCGGUUCUGCGUUGGGCUACCGGCGCGCGCGGUUCACAAGAAGGAGCUGGCCCUGCCACACCUUAAGGGAAGAACCUACUGAAAAUACAAGCAACCUAAGGAUAAAAAAGUUUUAAUUAAAGUCUCAAGCCUGACGAACGGAAAAUGAAGAACAGUAGAUCACAAUCUCUACGUCAUACGUACACUUUCAGAUAAUGUAGAGACCUUAAAAGAAGUAAUCAAUGACUUCGUGCGAAUCGUCAAUCGUGCCACUCUCGUAUUCCUCUUCUUAGUAAUGCCAAAAGAGUUUAUCGUCAAUCGUGCCACUCUCGUAUUCCUCUUCUUAGUAAUGCUAAAAGAGUUUAUCGGAGACGUUAAAUAGUGUAUGAGUUCAUGGUACAUAUAGAAGCAGUACGAUCGCCUUUGGACAUCUUGUCCCCCUUUCACAUAGUAUGAGUCCCACCAGUUCCUAUCCAACUUGUACCUGUUGACAAUGUCUACACGGACUAACUAUUAAAAUAAAAAGACUUUUAAACCAUGCUAAAGGUAGUAAUAUGAAAAGUCCCUUAGUUUAAAAGUUACCUCCUUCUACAGGAGCCGAAAGAACCAACGAUGACGUACAGACGUAGAGGUUAUCUAACGUCAAUACAGUAGUUACUUAUUAAAUCACUCAAAUCCUUAGUUUAAACCCCUGAGAUCAAAAGAGAAAUUAGUCAUGAAAGAACCGACGGCCCACGUUAAAAUGUAAAGUCCUUAGUUUAAAAGUUACGAACGAAGUCGUACAUCCACAGUGAAAGGUUGGAAAGACUAACGUCCUUCGGUUUUCGGAUUGUACCUCAAUAGGUGAAUUGAGUUAGUCAACCACUUGGUUUGUGAGUUUUAUUUAAUCAGAAAAAGGGAAGGGUUCAAUGAACUUUUAUGAUAACAGAUCGAGCAAACCGUGAAGAGAGAUGCAACGUAAACGUCAUAUACUAUGUACGUCAUCGGAGUACGGCACGUUGGAAAGUACAAAAGAAGUGUACGUUUACAUCGUAAACAUUCCCUCACCACAAGGUACUACAUUCCCGCACGAGACUAUUUUUGUACUGUACUGUUAUCUCCAAACACGAAGAACAACGAAGCUUCGAUGGUGAAGUAGCAGAACGAUAAUGACGGUAGCUUAACAACAAUAACUUUAAACUAGUUAACCGACUGUUGAUCUGUAAAACUAUUACGAACGGGUUGAUACAAUUUCAUCACAAACAGCUUAUAAUGGAAUCCCAUAGUUAAAUCUUUUUACCUCCUUAACUUUUCAAUAUUGUCCUUACAUGUUUUUGUAAUUUCUGUUCUUGAAAUAUACUUCGAAGUCAAGGACAGACAUAAGAGGAAAAGACUCUAAAUUAUACUUCGAAAUCAAGGAUGUGAUUAAUGUCAAGUACAGAAGAUGAUGUCAAUAACAGGUAUACGUACAACGAGAGUACAUCCAACCAGGUAACUGUUUUGGUAAACGAGAAACUACAAGGUUCAAACCACAGAUCUUUUUCCUCUAGGUCCGAACCUCAACAUUAUCCAGGAUUACUUGGAUGCAUCCACACGAAGGAAAGAUACAUCACUUUUUAUUACGGCACGGCGGUGGAGUAGAUACUAUUGAUAGAUAAGUCUAAAUAGAUUAAUACGUUCUUUGGUUGAUAAAUAUAGAAGGUUAUGUAGUUCGACUAUCAGAGUCCUUAGACUUUAGUCGAAUUUAGUAUUGUGAGUACAUAAGCAGUUUCUCGAAACAAUACCGUAUAUAUGAUUUAGUACUUCUUGUAAACCUACGUUUCGUGGGUACAAGGACUCUCUUUGGGUACGACAUGUAAAGGCAAGAGAGUAAAAAUGAAACGCUUCAAUAGAGUUCGUAUACGAAAAUCAAAACACGUCCAUCUAAACUGUUGACCUACGGGUCCGAAUCUAUCCUUGACUCUACUGUAUCGUCGCCUUCUUGUGCUACUAAAAGGUCAAGUAAAGUAAUCGUGAAACUAAAUAACUCCCGCCGCUUCACUUCCUUCGAGACACACGCUUUUAUUUGUGUGGAAACACACAUUUUUCACAUGACUACCUAAAAGACACAUUGACCAUAAAGACAAGUGCGAAUUCUUCACGAAGUAUUACCGGCUUAACAUGUCAAGUUCAACUCACACAAUUAGUAAUAGAUAUUAUUUAGUCC
rnacentral:rRNA from 1 species